rnacentral:tRNA from 1 species
GGUAAUCUGAGGCUUCCUCACUGAGAAAUGUUUGAAAUACAGCUCUAUUGCAACUGGGUUGUUGAGCCCUGGGCCUAUGUCACUGAAUUGCUCUCUGGACUCCCUUAGGCUAAAUGAAUAAGUGGAAAACAGUUUAUACAGCCCUAGGUGACCACAGCACAGCAUCUUGGCAAACAUCUGAUGCUUUCUCUUUAAUGUCAAUUGAAAAAUUCAUGCGAGGGUAGGAUUUUAUUCUUAACUAUGGACUCAAUGAUAAUCACAGUGCUUUGUGAUUGGGCCAUUGAGUGAUCAGGAAAAGGGAUAUGUAACCAUGUGGAAACAUUGAAAACUGAUCCUCUCUGUCCUACACACACACUCUCUCUCUCUGUGGAGGAGUUGCCUGCAAAAGUUAAUCAUUGACUAGAACCAGGAAGACAAUCAGCUGCUCUCAGUGAUACCAACACUACCUGUAGAGAUCUGUGUAUGCCCUCAUGGUUCCCUGAGGAAUUUACUGGGUGUGGAGGAAGAAACAACUUCACAGUAGUGAUUUGACCCAUGACCAGAAACCUGACUCAAGCGAAGGACAAAGUUGCAGACACUGUCAGAUACCAGUUCACAUUUUAUUGGGAAGAACAGCUGGAACCAGAAAGGCCACCUGCCUGAGGCAGAAAGUCCAGGCCUUCAAAUGACUCAGUCUUUCCUAAGAGCGGUUGGAGGAAUGCUGGUGGCUGGUGAUUUUCCUGUUCCUGUGGUGCCCAGUAUGAAUGUUUUGCUUUGCCAUUAAAGCCCCUUUUGAGGCCAAGAUGCUAGGAAAACAGGCUGAUGGCACCAAGAAUCACACAGAAUCAUCCUGUCACUUUGUUCUCCUCUGUAGUAUGAUUUCACACAGCUGAUGGGCUCAAAGCAUCUGCUCAAAUUUCUUUCUGAACUUUCUCUUGAAAUACUCUGAGCAGAGGAGGAAAGAGUCGGAAAGUUAAGUAGGUCUGACAGAGUACGACUGUAGUCCAAUUUAUUAUUAUUUCUUUUAACAGUGGAUUGCCUCUAUCUUCCAAAUGAAAUUAUAGGCACAACUUGCACAUGGAAAGUAAGAGGGCUUUUCUUUUUUAUUUUAUUUAUUUAUUUAUUAUUUGCUUGCAGUGCUGGGGACCAUGUGCGCAAAGCAUAGGCUCUACCGCUAAGUUAUAUGCAGAGCUUUUUGGUGGCAUUGGGGAUUGAACCCAGGGCUUCAUUGUGUGCCAGGCAAAAGUUCUUCCACUGAACCACACCACCAGACCUAAAAGGAGAUCUUUUUUAUGUUUGAGGCUAGCUUUUUGAAAUCUAGAACUCUCCUGCUGUAACCUGGAAGUUGACCCUCCUAAUAUUUGAAAACCAUUACAAUUGAGAUGAAUUCCUUUAAAAUAGAAAGUGUUCUUUAAAAUAUGAAAACCUGUGCAAUAAUGAUUAUGUUGAGCCAGAAUCUAUGAGUUAAUCUCCCUUGGUAUGAAUUAGUUUAUGUCAAAUUUCUAUUUUUCCUAAUAACUGCUGAAACAAAUGCACUAGAGAAUAUGAACUUAAAUAGAGGGAAAAUAAAAUUACUUUUGAAGCAUGUGGCACUGCAAGUUAGGGAAGACAUAAGGGAGUUUCUCAGAGAGGAUUUGAGAACUGGUUUGGGUUAUCAGCACCAAAACAUAGGAUACUGAGACCAUGGGAGUGACUUAUUGCCUAUGUGAUACUGGGCAAGUUACUUGACCUCCCUGUUCCUUGAUUUCCU